GAUGAACGCUAGCGGCAGGCUUAACACAUGCAAGUCGAGGGGCAGCAAGGGUAGCAAUACCUGUUGGCGACCGGCAAACGGGUGCGGAACACGUACACAAUCUACCUUUAUCUGGGGGAUAGCCCGAAGAAAUUCGGAUUAAUACCCCAUAAUAUAUUUGGAUGGCAUCAUUUGAAUAUUAAAACUCCGGUGGAUAGAGAUGAGUGUGCGUCCCAUUAGCUAGUUGGUAGGGUAACGGCCUACCAAGGCGACGAUGGGUAGCUGGUGUGAGAGCACGACCAGCCACACGGGCACUGAGACACGGGCCCGACUCCUACGGGAGGCAGCAGUGAGGAAUAUUGGUCAAUGGACGCAAGUCUGAACCAGCCAUGCCGCGUGAAGGAUGAAGGCCUUCUGGGUUGUAAACUUCUUUUAUUGGGGAAGAAAAUUACGGUUUCUACUGUAACCGACGGUACCCAAGGAAUCAGCACCGGCUAACUCCGUGCCAGCAGCCGCGGUAAUAC
rnacentral:rRNA from 1 species